AAGAAUGCGCUUCUAAUCAUGCAAGUCGAACGCAGCGGCCGAUGUGCCGGCUGCGUGGCGAACGGCUGAGGAACACGAUGGGUGACCACCCCCGGAGUGGGGGAUACCCCGUCGUCAGGACGGGACAAUCCCGCAUACGCUCUACGGAGGAAAGCCGCAACGGCGCUCCGGGACGGGCCUGCGGCCCAUCAGGUAGUUGGUGUGGUAACGGCGCACCAAGCCAGUGACGGUUACCCGGUCUGAGAGGACGGCCGGGCAGACUGGGACUGCGACACGGCCCAKACUCCUACGGGAGGCAGCAGCAAGGAAUUUUCCCCAAUGGGCGCAAGCCUGAGGGAGCAACGCCGCGUGGAGGACGACGGCCUUCGGGUUGUAAACUCCUUUCGGGUGGGACGAGCAUGACGGUACCACCAGAAGCAGCCCCGGCUAACUCUGUGCCAGCAGCCGCGGUAAGACAGAGGGGGCAAGCGUUGUCCGGAGUUACUGGGCGUAAAGGGCGCGGAGGCGGCCUGCUGCGUCGGCGCUGAAAGCGCCCCGCUUAACGGGGCGAGGCGCGCCGAUACGAGCAGGCUCGAGGCGAGCAGAGGGUGGUGGAAUUCCGGGUGGAGCGGUGAAAUGCGUAGAGAUCCGGAGGAACGCCGGUGGAGCA
rnacentral:rRNA from 1 species